UACGAAGGGGGCUAGCGUUGCUCGGAAUCACUGGGCGUAAAGGGCUCGUAGGCGGUUUGUCGCGUCGGGAGUGAAAACCUUGGGCUUAACUCAGGGCUUGCUUUCGAUACGGGCAGACUAGAGGUAUGCAGGGGAGAACGGAAUUCCUGGUGUAGCGGUGAAAUGCGCAGAUAUCAGAGGAACACCGAUGGCGAAGGCAGGUCUCUGGGCCACUACUGACGCUGAGAAGCGAAAGCAUGGGGAGCGAACAGG
rnacentral:rRNA from 1 species